UUGAAACUCAAAGGAAUUGACGGGGGCCCGCACAAGCGGCGGAGCAUGUGGUUUAAUUUGAAGCAACGUGAAGAACCUUAGCAGGUCUUGACAUCCAGUGCAAACGUAAGAGAUUAGGUGUUCCCUUCGGUGACGCUGAGACAGGUGGUGCAUGGCCGUCGUCAGCUCGCGUCGUGAGAUGUUGGGUUAAGUCCCGCAACGAGCGCAACCCUUGUCACUAGUUGCCAUCAUUAAGUUGGGCAUUCUAAGGAGACUGCCGGUGACAAACCGGAGGAAGGUGGGGAUGACGUCGAAUCAUCAUGCCCCUUAUGAUCAGGGCUACACACGUGCCACAAUGGUGUAAACAAAGGGAAGCGAGACGGGGACGUUAAGCAAAUCCCAAAAAUAACGUAACAGUUCGGCUGGUAGUGUGCAAGUCGACUACAUGAAGCUGGAAUCGCUGGUAAUCGCGAAUCAGAACGUCGCGGCGAAUACGUUGCCUGGUCUUGUACACACCGCCCGCCACACCAUGGGAGUCAGAAAUGCCCGAAGUCAGUGACCCAACCGAGCCCAAAAGGGGGCCGAAGGUGGAGCUGGUAACUGGGGUGAAGUCGUAACAAGGAAAC
rnacentral:rRNA from 1 species